AGAUUAAGUUAUUAAGGGCGCACGGUGGAUGCCUUGGCACUAGAAGCCGAUGAAGGACGUUACUAACGACGAUAUGCUUUGGGGAGCUGUAAGUAAGCUUUGAUCCAGAGAUUUCCGAAUGGGGAAACCCAGCAUGAGUUAUGUCAUGUUAUCGAUAUGUGAAUACAUAGCAUAUCAGAAGGCACACCCGGAGAACUGAAACAUCUUAGUACCCGGAGGAAGAGAAAGAAAAUUCGAUUCCCUUAGUAGCGGCGAGCGAAACGGGAAGAGCCCAAACCAACAAGCUUGCUUGUUGGGGUUGUAGGACACUCUAUACGGAGUUACAAAGGACGACAUUAGACGAAUCAUCUGGAAAGAUGAAUCAAAGAAGGUAAUAAUCCUGUAGUCGAAAAUGUUGUCUCUCUUGAGUGGAUCCUGAGUACGACGGAGCACGUGAAAUUCCGUCGGAAUCUGGGAGGACCAUCUCCUAAGGCUAAAUACUCUCUAGUGACCGAUAGUGAACCAGUACCGUGAGGGAAAGGUGAAAAGCACCCCGGAAGGGGAGUGAAAUAGAACCUGAAACCGUGUGCUUACAAGUAGUCAGAGCCCGUUAAUGGGUGAUGGCGUGCCUUUUGUAGAAUGAACCGGCGAGUUACGAUUUGAUGCAAGGUUAAGCAGUAAAUGUGGAGCCGUAGCGAAAGCGAGUCUGAAUAGGGCGUUUAGUAUUUGGUCGUAGACCCGAAACCAGGUGAUCUACCCUUGGUCAGGUUGAAGUUCAGGUAACACUGAAUGGAGGACCGAACCGACUUACGUUGAAAAGUGAGCGGAUGAACUGAGGGUAGCGGAGAAAUUCCAAUCGAACCUGGAGAUAGCUGGUUCUCUCCGAAAUAGCUUUAGGG
rnacentral:rRNA from 1 species